GCGUGGGCUGUUCUAAUCUUAGACCGUGGCCAUCUGCAGCUGGGCCUGGCCUGAAAGUCGGCUGCUGCUGGCAUUGUUUGUAUUGUUGUUGGUGUAACCUAAGACCUUAAAAAAUGAUGUUGAAAGUAACCCAAUUCAGCAAAUAGAACCAGGGAACAGCCAUAAACAUAACCAUGCGCCACUUUAGUCCCGCUUGUCUCUAUAAUAUUUGUUUAGAGGCAGCUUUGCAUAAUUUGCUUACAUACAGACAAAUAUCUAAAUAGAAAACAAUAAAUUUAUUUGAAUUUAUUCUUGCUGUUGACUAUGGUUAAAACUGCUUAAGUAUUGGUUGGCAUUUUGGGUUGGGCCGUCACGGCACACACACACACACACACACGCACACACCUGGAGAGCUGCGGGGACUGCGAUGGGUCUUUCAUUUGCCUUCCUAGAGAGGCUGUUUUGGGCACACUUUGGGACGCGUAAAUCAAAUGCUGCUUACAAGUGGCUCGAUCUCGGAUCUGAGGUGCCGCAUUUGAAAGGCCAAAAGAACUGAGCAAUCGAGACAAGUCCAAAAAAAAAAAUAUAUAUAAAAAAUAUACAAAAAUAUGUCUUGUCAUUUGGCUUAUGGCAGCUGAUUAAUCUUAGCAUCUCCCCCAAAUGGACGCCGCCUGUCGCGCCUCAAAUGGAAUGUCGCUCAACUGGUUCAAAGCAAAAACAAAAAAAAAGGCAGAGAAAAAGAAAAAACGUAUUCAAUAGAGCCAAGGAAAAGGCCCAGAGGCACAGCCGCCGCCACGACAGCCACUUGACUCCAUACUGAGAGAUCUUUUUGGUAUUUGCUUUCCAUAAUUCAAAAAUAGUUGGCAGAAGAGAUAAUUAAUAACCAAAUCAGUUGCGUGAGGACAAAAGUGUCAAAUAGCCUAUUCCCCAACACACAACAUACAAUUUGCAUAAAUUUACAUUUGUUAUUUGUCACUUACAGCCACAAGAUACAUAUUUAUUCAUUCCUUUAAGGGGCUAUCGCUUA